UUACAUUUUUUGGAAUAAACCUAAAUUGUUUGACAUACUUAUAUGGGAAAUUUGUAAAACUACCCUUUUUUUACUACCCUUUUAAAAUAAUAACCUUUUGUGUUGUCCAUUUUUACUACCCUUUUAAAAUAAUACCCUUUUGUGUUGUCCAUUUUUAAAAUACCCCUUCCAUUGAACAGAAUGACCAAAUGACCAAAUUUUCCAACCAAAAAAAAAAUCCGCCAAACUUUUUUUCCGCCAAAAAAAAAAUUUUCCGCCAAAAAUA
rnacentral:sRNA from 1 species